rnacentral:rRNA from 1 species
CGGGACGGGUGAGUAAUGUCUGGGAAAUUGCCCGAUGGAGGGGGAUAACUACUGGAAACGGUAGCUAAUACCGCAUAACGUCGCAAGACCAAAGAGGGGGACCUUCGGGCCUCUUGCCAUCGGAUGUGCCCAGAUGAGAUUAGCUAGUAGGUGGGGUAACGGCUCACCUAGGCGACGAUCCCUAGCUGGUCUGAGAGGAUGACCAGCCACACUGGAACUGAGACACGGUCCAG